rnacentral:rRNA from 1 species
UACGUAGGGGGCAAGCGUUGUCCGGAUUUAUUGGGCGUAAAGAGCGUGUAGGCGGCUUUGCAAGUCCGUUGUGAAAACUCGAGGCUCAACCUCGAGACGCCGGUGGAAACUGCAAAGCUAGAGUCCGGAAGAGGAGAGUGGAAUUCCUGGUGUAGCGGUGAAAUGCGCAGAUAUCAGGAAGAACACCCGUGGCGAAGGCGGCUCUCUGGGCAUUACCUGACGCUGAGGAGCGAAAGUGUGGGGAGCGAACAGG